CCGCAUGGUUUCGUUUUGAAAGGCGCUUUACGGUGCCGCUGAUGGAUGGACCCGCGGUGCAUUAGCUAGUUGGUGAGGUAACGGCUCACCAAGGCCACGAUGCAUAGCCGACCUGAGAGGGUGAUCGGCCACAUUGGGACUGAGACACGGCCCAAACUCCUACGGGAGGCAGCAGUAGGGAAUCUUCGGCAAUGGACGAAAGUCUGACCGAGCAACGCCGCGUGAGUGAAGAAGGUUUUCGGAUCGUAAAACUCUGUUGUUAGAGAAGAACAAGGGUGAGAGUAACUGUUCACCCCUUGACGGUAUCUAACCAGAAAGCCACGGCUAACUACGUGCCAGCAGCCGCGGUAAUACGUAGGUGGCAAGCGUUGUCCGGAUUUAUUGGGCGUAAAGCGAGCGCAGGCGGUUUCUUAAGUCUGAUGUGAAAGCCCCCGGCUCAACCGGGGAGGGUCAUUGGAAACUGGGAGACUUGAGUGCAGAAG
rnacentral:rRNA from 1 species